CCUACGCGUGGCUGCAGUGGGGAAUAUUGGACAAUGGGCGAAAGCCUGAUCCAGCCAUGCCGCGUGUGUGAAGAAGGCCUUCGGGUUGUAAAGCACUUUCAGUGGGGAAGAAAGCCUUGGGGCUAAUACCCUCGAGGAAGGACAUCACCCACAGAAGAAGCACCGGCUAACUCCGUGCCAGCAGCCGCGGUAAUACGGAGGGUGCGAGCGUUAAUCGGAAUUACUGGGCGUAAAGCGCGCGUAGGCGGUCUGAUAAGCCGGUUGUGAAAGCCCCGGGCUCAACCUGGGAACGGCAUCCGGAACUGUCAGGCUAGAGUGCAGGAGAGGAAGGUAGAAUUCCCGGUGUAGCGGUGAAAUGCGUAGAGAUCGGGAGGAAUACCAGUGGCGAAGGCGGCCUUCUGGACUGACACUGACGCUGAGGUGCGAAAGCGUGGGUAGCAAACAGGAUUAGAUACCCGAGUAGUC
rnacentral:rRNA from 1 species